rnacentral:sRNA from 1 species
GACAUGAAAGAAAAACGAUCAGCAUUAGUAAAACUAAGAAAUGAAGCUCAGGAAAAGAAUUAGAAAUAAAAGAAAAUUAUUUCAGAAAUGGAGACUAAAGUAGGAGGAACAUAAACAAUGGAUAAUGUGUUAAGAAAAAUAGAAGAUGAAAAAAAUUUAAAAAGUGAGUCAACCUUUGGACAAGAGUCUGUGAAGAAAACCAGAGCAAGGGAACAGAAAAAAUACUGUUAAAAUGUCAUUUAAGUUUAUUUAUGUGAAUCAGUCCUUUGCUCCUUCCCCAGACCAAGAAGUUGGAACUCUCUAUGAGUGUUUUGGCAGUGAUGGUAAACUGGUUUUACAUUACUGCAAGUCUCAGGCGUGGGGAUGAACCACAAAGAAAAUCAACUUGCUACUACAUAAAAUGGAUUUUCACGGAAGAGACAGCUCUGAAAAGUUUUGAUGCUUGUGGCAAGAGACUUAACAGAUGUGAUCUAUUUAGUAUGUGUCUACUCUAUGUUUAUGCAUAAGAAAACAUCCAUAGCAUGAAUGGACUCAGAAAAAUGUGAUUUGUAUUAAUACACCAGUCAUCAUAAAAGAUGGUCAUGAUAGUACACCCAUUGCUCCUACUUGUUACUAUUAUUGCUGCAGAUCUGCCUCCAAGGUUGAAAAGGAGACUAAGACUGUAUAAACAUCUUCAUUGCCAGUUCUCAAAA